AGACAGAGGGUGCAAACGUUGUUCGGAAUUACUGGGCGUAAAGCGCGUGUAGGCUGUUCUGCAAGUCGGGUGUGAAAGCCCAGGGCUCAACCCUGGAAGUGCACUCGAAACUGCAAGACUUGAAUCUCAGAGAGGGUGGCGGAAUUCUGGGUGUAGAGGUGAAAUUCGUAGAUAUCCAGAGGAACACCGGCGGCGAAGGCGGCCACCUGGACGAGCAUUGACGCUGAGACGCGAAAGCGUGGGGAGCAAACAGAAUUAGAAACCCCAGUAGUCC
rnacentral:rRNA from 1 species